UGUCGUCAACAAAUCUUCUCCAUAGUCUGAUGUGUGUGUUGUUGGUGACUGACUGCUUUUCAAGGUGUUGCAUAACAGCUUCUGAAAGGAAGAUGGAUAAAGGAGAACCCAUUGGUGUUCCUGAGAUUUGUCGGUAAUAUGAAUUUUGGAAGGAGAAUUCUCUGGAGAGGCAGAGCUCAAGCAGGUCGAUGAUAUCCUCUUUGUCUAGUUCGGUUGUGAUUUUCCACGAGUUGUUGUUAGUAAGUAGUUCGUUUGUGACUUGUUUGGCUAUGUUUAGUGGUAUGGAUGUGAAAAGUGACACUACAUCGUAAGAUAUCAUGAUUUCGUUUGGUUUUAUUUUUUGAUAAUAUG